CCAGAAGGUGGCACGGCUCAACAGCAGUAGCAGCUGCAGGGGCUCCAGGGGCUGCUGCACGCUGGAGUAAACGCUGAAAAACCCACGUUGAUAAAGAGAAAAGGGGCUCGACAAGAACCAAUUCUACUUCAGAGGGGCCACAUCCAAGUACCUGGGCUUCAAGCUGGACAAAGAAAUCAAGCACACACCACUUUCUUACAGGUAGCAAGGGAAGAUGUUACGAUGUGAAUGUACCUUUGGUACAGUCAGCUCAGAAGAGGAGAUGGCUCAUGAAUGAUUAUUCGAGUGAUAAUGCAAACUUACUGCACAUGGGAGGGAUGGAGGCUCCCUUAAGAGCUCUGUACUGAGGAAGGCAGCUGUUGGACUCCACUCUUACCACCCCAUGAGGCAGGGGUGUUGCAGGUGCCCCAGAACCGCAGGGAAAACAUCACUUGUAAUCUGCAUUUCAUCAACAUCAGAGAAUUCACAUAGGAGUGGAAAGAAAAAAUAAAUAAAAGUUGACGCACAUCCAUUGGAGAUGAAUUUUUAGGGAACUAGUUGUUUUAAUUGCCGGGAUGAUUCCUUUAAACUAGCACAUCCAAGAGUUAAACAGCUGGUCAGUGAUUUUGGUCUCAUAGAAAACAGAUGUUUGAGCACAGCGCGAGAGCAGCAGAAGGCAGGCUGGGGGUUUGAAAGCAGCACAUUCUGCGGGGCUUGGAGAGAACCCAAGGCCACAUCCUGCAGCCUGCACCCAGCUGAUAAGCUUUCCUCUUGGGAGCAGCUCCCUACACAGCAUGUGCCAGCCCUGGCAGUCAGUGGUUGCCCUCAGGAUUAGCAGAAUCUCAGCAUUGCAUAAUUCCUUCACAUCUGUAACACAUUUCUUCCUGCUAGCUCUAUAAAAGGGAAUUCCUUACUAUCUACGGCCUUGGAUUUGGUUUGCACCAGAAAUCAAUUUCAUUUGCAGUACAAAAUUUAGUUUUUAGCUGCUUUCAAAUAAAAAUGUCGGAUGAGGAAUAAAGUUAAUAAUUAUGAGCAUGUAGCCCAUCCAAAGAACUCUUUUGUCUUUAUGGUCAUAGGUUACAAAUUACUUACAUAUUAGAAGAGCAAUAAAGAUGGGAAGCUGGGUGUAGUGAAUCACCCCAAAUUACACAUUAAAUGCAUCAUACAGGUGUGUAUGAAUAGGCCUGUAGAUGAGUGGUCAGGAUUGUAUUCCAUUGCUGUAAUCAGCAUGCUGGAUCUUGGCCCUGGAUUGCUGGAAGAAUGACUGGAGAUGAUCAUGGCAUGUGUAUAACAGGAACCUAGUGAGCAAAUAUUUUACACUAGCAAAGGAUUAGGGUAACAAGGUUAUCCAUGAAUGAACUCAAGCUGUGAAUGAGUUAGGAGAUGGUGGCUCUGAUUUAGCAGAUCACUUUAAUCACAAUACACUUAUCUAUUCUUGCAUGAUGACAGCUCCAUGCAUAUUUGUAGAGAGAGUUUCUAACCCAGCCUUCUGUGAAUGCAUGAAUGCAGUAAGUGGAGGUGGGUCAGGAGUAUUCUAGCUGCCAUAAACCAAGUCACUUUUGACCUGUUGUUUUUGAGGUAAGUUCAAUAUCAUGGGGAUUUUGAAUUUAAUCACACAUAUAGGUACACCUCAUCCUUUUAAAAAGAGUCAUCCUGUGUUUCUUCUGUCUCUACAUAUUACAAUUUCCACAAGAGAUAAUUGCUUUCAAAAUGCUGAGUAAGAAUUGGUGUAAUGUCUUACCUUAAUGAAACCCAAAAUAAGGUAAGGUUUGAUUUGCUUGACAAUUUUUAUGAGACUCUCUUUUAUACUCUAGCUAAAACUGUAGUUACUUUAGUUGAUAUGUCUCAAAUAGAAGUGACAUCCUAAAGUUCUUUAUAUUGCAGCUUCACAGCAAGAUUAUUGGUUUUUAUUAACUUUGGUCUAAUUUUUCACCAGGUGUUUUAUCACUUCUGGCAGAUUUGUUUGUUUGAUGGUGGACAUGAUAUAUUGAAGGGAAGCAUUUUGCAUUCCAUUUGCCACAAGCACUCUUCAGUGAACAAUGUAAUGUAAAAUUUAGUUCCAGGAUUUGAGUGAUUUUAAAAAUAAUUUCUUUAAACAUUUAAAAGUACAGAACAUGGUCCCAUAAAUUUUAGAAAUUAUGGUAGGAUGAUUUUCCUACCUCUUUGCAGCCAAAAUAUAAUAGUUUGCAGUUAACUUAUGAUAAUUCAGAAUUGCAGAUAAGAACAAAAAUAGAAGCCAAACCAGAUAAGGCUGAUAUAUUGUCAUUGCUCUAGGUGAGAGAAAAGCAAAAUUAAGCAAUACCAAGCAAAACAAAUAGGUCAAGUCCUUUCAGUUUUCCCAAUCAAGAGUUCAUCUGAUAGAAAAGCUGGAAGACGUUUCUUUAUCCUGGAGUACCUUUCUGAGAAUAAAUCAUUUGGGAGGAUGCAGCACUCUGCUGUAGGGUUAUAAUUAUCCUUGGAGAUCUGAGUUGCUGUAACUUUCUCCCGUGACUCUGGAGAAUGGUAUCAGCCAAAUGUAUUGAGCCAAGUCUGCAGCCUGGCUUCAGGUGCAGGUGUGGCACCCAGUCAGUGUGUAAGGCAAGCACAUGAGACCUGGUGUCAACAGAUGCUCACAAAUGAGGGAUUCAGAGUCUGUAGUGAUGUUUGGGAAUCAGGCCUUGACUUGGGAGUUAACUGCUGAUGGAGAUAAGUAGUUUUUAAAGAGACAUGGAGUUUAUGUAUUUCUAGCCUUAAAAGUAUAUGAGCUGGGGAAAAAAAUUACUGAGGUAUACCCUUCCUUUUUAAAAUGAUGAACUUUAAUUAUAAAAAAUGGUUGGAAUGGGAAAAAAAGAGGUGUGAAAGGCAUGAGAGUACAUUUUUGAGAAUUUCAGUACUUAAGGACUAUACCUCUCCCUGCUGUCAGAGGUGAUCACCAAGAAAAAUGAUUUCUUGCACAUGGCAGGUGAAGGGAAUGUAGAAAAUGUGGUCAGUAUAAUAUAGAGGGAUUCCCAUCAACUGAUUUACUGCAGAUAUAUUCCUGAUACCAAAUGUAUUCCAAAAUAGAACUGAAAUAUUUAUUGGCUUGUUAAGUAGUUAGUGAAUGUGUGUGUCUUAUUUACAUAUGAAUGUUUCUCACUGUGGUAUUAAUUGAAAAUUUGACACACCAAAAAUCCUUUUAGUGCUAAGUUAUAAUUUGAUUGCAAUAUUAACUCACCUGGAUUGGUGAUCAAAGCAUGGAAAAAUGUGCAAAGGACACUUAGCUUUAGAAUUUGAUUAAUAUUUUAAAAUAAGCUACUUUUAAUGUGUUCUGAUACUAGAGAAAAAAUACUCCAGUUGAGGAGUAUUGGAAUUUACCCAAUGUGUACGUAAUAUUUGGAAUAGCAUCUCCAGUAAAACUACUCUACAUCUCAGAUAGUAAAUGAUGUUUUCUACUGAAUGUAAUCAUUUCUCACAGCAGUAGUGCAGUAUUUUGUUCAAUACAGAACAAAAGCUGAUUCCUUACUUUUAAGGAAUCUCUAUUGAAGCCUGCAUACCUUGGAAAAAACGUGGUAAUAAUAAUGAUGGAGGGAAGCUUUCAAAGGUGAAAACAAUGUAAUACCAAAACAAACAGAUUGAAUAAAAUAGGGAGUAAACUGAUCUAAAGGGAAAUCUUUUGCUAGAGGUGAAUGCUACAGGGUAGCAACUAAGGCAUAAAGAGUUAUUAGUUAAUCUGAAGUUAUUUAAGAAAUUGAUAGAAUAUCUGCAAGCCUAAGGGACCUGCAGAAAAUUUUGGGAGCCCUCAUUUCACCUUGAGAAAAGAAGGACACAAAUAUUUCAAUUUGCAUGGAGCAACAACCCCAGAUGGGAUACGCUGUGAAUUCUGCAAGUAGUAAGUUAUUGGCUUGUGGCAUAAUAAUUCAAAAUGUUUCUAGGAAAUUGACAUUUUCCGGGCAGUAUAUGAGAGGCAGAAGAAAAAUGCAUCUGGAAAACAGUGUUUUAUUACAGGGCUCAAUGACAGCUGAAGGAGUUGCUUGUGACAGUGAGGACUGAAUCCACCUGCACCGGAGCCAGUCACACCAGACUGCUACAGUGGAGGCAAACAGACUCACUGGAGAGCCAUCCUCAUUUCAAAGCACAUGCAUGUGCUUGGUCUGAGACACUCAUACACUUGUUUGUAAAAAUCCAUAGUUAGAGGAAAUGAAUCCAGUUAUAGGUACCAAUAAGUUCCUUAAAUAGAGAGUGAUUUGGCUCAGUGCAAGCAGUUUCAGAAGCUAAGUGAGGCUUCAGAUUUUCAGUGCACAGGACUGUUAGGCUCCCACAGCCAAAUCUGGAAAGGCUGGGUUGAUAUUUACUCUGGUGCUUGUUCUGAGCACAUUUGUGCAAGAUUCUAUAUGCACAGAACAGAGGAGUAGCACAGAGCUGCAGUUGUCUGGUAGGGCUGACACACACACACAAAUGUACACUUAGCCUUUGAAGGAGCUGCUACACUCUCCUAUGGAAGUCAGUCAUUGUCCAAAAUUACCUUGCUGACUGCAAGUGAGCCAUAAGGCAACAGUAAGAAUACUCCCAGUCUGUUACACUGCCUUGUCUGGGAGGUUGGAAUCAAGGAGAAAAGACACUUUUCUAAAUCUGUUCUUGCAGCACCAAAGGCUUACAGACUUUAACCACAGACCCAUCUGGGGGUCACUGACCAAGUCUAUGAAACCAUUCAGUUCAGUUCACUGAUGUCCUCUCUAUCUGUUUCCUAAAGCUCUGUAUAUUACACAUAGGUUUGGUGUUUAAUUGUACUCUAGGGUUGAUAACCUUUAUUCAUACCACGGCUGGCUCUGUGUAUGGUUGGUAAAUCUGAAUUCAACUCUCCUUGAAGCUUCUGUUCAGCUCUCCAAAAGCAGCACUCUGGUGCACGCCAAGAGGACAAGAUUUGUGGCAAACGGCAAGAUGACAAAAUUUGCAAGUAUGUGAGAUGCUGCACUUAAUAAAAACAACAAAAGCCUGUGGUUGAGCAGAACAACGUGCUGGUGUUUUGACAGCUUACUGCUUUCAUUUCCUCUUCAGUGUCUGAGCACUGUAGACACCACUGUGCUUUAAAGAAAAAUGCCCACAGAAGAGGUUUGUAUUAUGAGAUUGUUAUUUACAUGCUCAAUGUUAUAUAUCAGAUCUGUUCUCCCACCUGCUGGAACUGAUUUAGGGCCCAGUGCUCUCCGCCCUUUUAUCUCUGUGGGGCUGCGUGCCUGCACAUUGUUGGGGAGGGCAGGGGCCACCCACAGAGAACAACCUAGAGGGAAAAUGUGCCCCUGACAGUGCCCAACCCAGGAGAGGGACCUAGAUGUUGUAUUGCAGCCUCUGACUGCUCAGCUUUCCUGUGCUCUCUUCAUCAAUGGAUGAAUAGGAUCAUCAGAGCACAGGGACAGUUUUUCCAUGUUCAUGUCUGCAGUUCUUAUUCCCUUGCUAGGAGAUUUAGGGCAAUCUGUAAGUCUGCUCAAUACUUCCAACCAAAACAUGAAGCAGUAAUCAGAAUUUCAAUAUGUGUGUUACAGUUUAAUUGGUCUGGUCUGUGUGUCUCAAGAUGGUGGGAAUUAUUGCUUAAUCCUCAGUACUAGAAGAAGGGAAGCAGAGUCAAUGGGGAUUAAAUGUGGUAGCCAAUAAAAGUCAUACCCUAUGAAAAUAUUACAAUUAGAAAUGAAAGAUAGCCUUUCCAGAUAGCUUUCCUUGAGCUCUUACAAAUGUUUAGACAGCCUAAUCUAACCACAUAUUUAGAACAGCUAUUUUCAGAGAGACCCUUGUGAACUGUGCUAUUAGUUAGCAUUCUUGGCCCAGGUUAGCAAUGGAAAAUAUUUCUUAUCUGAUUUGGCUGUAUUUAUAAGUGAAAGACAUGUAAUAUGUAUUUUGUCUUUUGAAACAUUUUGAUUUACAAAAAAAACCCGUGUUCAUAAUGUAUCAAAAAAAUUGCCUGUGAACAUUUAUGUAAUUGUCUUUGAUGCUACUCUGCAAAUCUUUUGUAAGCAAUUUAUGUAUAAAUAGCAACAUGUUUUACAUAUGUAAUCUAUCUUUAUAUAGCUAGCUUUCCCCAUUUUUGUAAACUGACUUCAGUGUCUGGGACUAUAGACAAAGCUCUGUCAUUUAACCAUGAAGACAAAUGACAGCCCAGCAACAGGCCAGAGAAACCACAUUUAUGUGUAAUCAGAAAUGAUCUUUCAUAUCACAACAUUGCUGUUUCCAGCCAUCCCUUUGAAAAGUGAGGAAAGGAAAAAUGAUCUCAUAUAAAGUCAAAAGUUCAAUAUUUUGGCAAAGUUGUAGUAAUGAUGUGCAAUUUAGAAUUCUCAGAAAGGACAGGAGAAAAUAAAUUUUCCAAGGAGUGCAUAUGCCCUUUCAGAUUACUACAUAAAAAGUCCUAUAUGUGGCUUUGAAAAAUGGUAUUUAAUGGUUAAAUGGAGAUGGAGAGACAGUGGAGACCAGUAGUCCAUGCAACAACAAAAGAUUUGUGGCCAUCCUUCAUAUCUGGUGUUUGAGAAAAGGCUGUUUGCUCAUAUCUGUCUUAAAAGAAGAGAGAAAAAAACCUUCUUCCAGUCAACACUAAGAAAGAGUCAAUCUGGAUGUAUUCAAGGGAAAAAAAAUAUCUUUUAAGGGUUUUAAAUGGAUUGUAAGAGUAACAUACACAUUUCUGAGAAAAAAAAAUUUCAGAAGUGUUUAGAAAGGACAUACAGCCUGAUUCCUGCAUUUACUUUAUUAUUUAAAUGUUUUUUUUAUUCAAAGAUCCUGAUGAUGCUAAACAAAACUUGAACUUCACUAUAGUGCAUUGACUGACAAUGACUGCUCAGUCUGAGGACAAGGUAUUUCUGCCCUAAUGGUUGUGGUCUGAAGGACAUUUCUGAAUAAGAUUUAAGAUGAGAGUUGCUGACAUUGUGUCCAUAAGCCAUAAGUGUUGGUGCAUCACCUUCCUGAUGCCUCCUUGCAGCAUUUGAAGUAUAAAUUUACAAACCUACUCUCAGUAUUUCAGAUCAGAAAGCUCCUAAAUAUUUGAUAAUGAUUGUGUCUUUCAUUAAUUGGUCAUACUUUUCUUAAUUUUUAUGAUACACAUCAAUCCUUCAGCCUCUGCAUUAAAUUUGAAGCUGGAAUUCUAAAGAGGACCUUUUUCUUUGACAUCACCAGGAUUAGUUUCACCUGGACUGAUCAUUUCUCUUUUGCUAUUAUAAAAAUGUAGCUAUCCCAGAACAAAGUGCCUUUUCCCAAAAAUAGGACAAAAGGACAGCAAUAAUAGGUCUGUAGUUACACUUAGCAUGCUAACUAUUCUCCAGAUGAGUUUCUUUUGUGUCUGGCCUACUUUUCCAGCCUUGGGGAUCUUCUGUAAGACUGAAACAGGGAAAUAGUUUCUCUUUGGGGAAGCAAAGUAGACAGCCUCAGUCAGUCAUUAUGGUUCUUCAUGAAUCUACAUCAGGAUGGGAUCCUCUCACCCUCUGUCUCAUCUGAUUUUUUGCUGUGCUCCGAUUCCUUUUAUGCUGAGGGCUCUUUAUUGUAGGCAGAAAAAUGGUGGGUGGGGUCUUAUGCAUGCCACAGAAAUAUUCUGACUGGGAAGCCCAGCUUGGCAGAAAGAUUCCUAAAUAAUUAUCCAUUGAAAUGUGUUUACUGUACUUGCUUUUGUCCCUCAAUAGCAGAAGAUAAUUAAAAUCAGGGAAGUAUCAUCAAGUAACAUUGCUUGUAUCAAAGGCCAGUGAAGAUUCAGAUCUGCCCAGAACAUUCCUAAUAGCACAUAUUUCAUAAGCCUCAGGGAGUCCCUUGGACUAUUAGUGGGAUUUUGAGUAAAAGAAGGACAGGAUCUCUCCCUGAGGACAAGACACUUGUCCAGAGUGCUUUGGGCCACCCCAUCAGGAUUGACAGCAGCUUGUCUGAAUCUGGGCUAUGGAGCAUUUGGCCAGAAAUCUCCUCUAAGCUGCAUGUGAUGUUCCUGGGGCUUUAAGAAAUAAUUAUCCCUUUUAAAAGACUUUUUAAACAUUAUUAUCCUUAAUGACCUAAUUAUUAGAUCAUAAUUAUGCAUGUAGCAUGCCUUGGGGCAUGGCAGGAAGACACUUGUGCAUGUUUGAAGAAGCAAAGCCUGCUUGUAAAGCUCUGUGUGAGGGGAAUCAGGGAAUCCCCUUGCUUCAGCCUUGGAAAGAGAUCUCUGGAAUGAUCUAUUGCCAGAACCACUCUUGGGUGUAACCUUGGAGUGAGCUAACUACAGUGGUCCAAAACAGGACCAUGGAGCAAGGUGACUGUGACCUAUGGCAGAGGAGCAGAGAUCCAAUACUCAACCCUCUGCCACUGCCUCUUUAAUAUCUAACAGAUAUUCUUAGCUCCCAGUCAAUUCCCAGAAAAAAUAAAUUGAUUAAAACCUGCUUAUUGGAUUAAAAUCUGCUUUUUAGUGUCUUUCAUGGAGCCCAAAAAGAUCAACAUCUUCAGCUCUUUAAAAUCUUACCUGUCUGAAGACUGUUACUGAAGAUUUUCUGUCAAACUGAAGAGAGCAGAGCAGCCAGAAUUGAAGAUGUAGGUACAUUUAGGUGCAGCACAUUAUGGGGCUUUAUUUCAGUGUUUUAAAACCUGUCCAAAGUUUCAUAUUAAGUUAACUAUUACUGUUUUUCAACAUGUUACAGCAGUGAUCUAUUCCCAGAGAGCUUUUGAGUAAUUAAGGUUUAAUUUACUUUGGACUCAUGUCUGCCUGCUUUCUUUGCUUUUUAUUUAUUUAUUUAUUUUAAUUUUUUUUCUUUAAAUAAGUAACUCCUGUUUCAGAAUCUAAAUAGUGUUCCCUUUUCCUUAAUUGGAAAUUUUAACUUAAAAUUUCUCCAAUGCGUUUACAGAAUAAUACAGCAGUUGAUAUGGACUUAAGAAUAAAUAUCUCAUCAUUUCACUUUGUUCUUGUCUUUCCCCUUUCCUUUUAAGCAGCAUAGGUUUGCUUUCUGUUCUCUGGCUGCCCUUCUGAACUUGGAGGAUUUUUCAUGAAUACCCUGGCCAAAAGGCAGUGCUGGAGGCUUAAGUUCAUGGUAUAUUCAUCAAAUACCAACAAGAGGCUAAUUCCCAGAUGGAUAAGGGGGUCUCUCAGAGCUCUUGUGACAUUAGAAAACAUUCUGAUUAAAACCUCACAGUUUAUAUGGCCAAGUGAGCUCUUCUCCUCUACAGCACUGCUCCUGGUGGGGGAUCCAUCCAGCUUUCUGUGUUACCUGAGCAGAAGUGCAGACUCCUACACUUGUGAGCAGAUGUGGGGGCAGCAGUCUCACCCCUAGAAAAACAAGUUUGCAUUGGGUGUGAGACCAGCAGGCUCCAAGAUGAAUCAAUGUCAGGGCACUCUCUGAGCUGCUUCAGGGCACCUCCUGUCCUCUGAGAAGCCUUGAGGGCACCUGAACCCCGAUGUCUGCAGUGGAUGGGCAUGAGGGAUAAGUAAGAGAUAAGUAGUUUGUUUCACACAGAUGACUGGCCAGAGAAUGAUGGAUCUGAGAUGUUCAUUGGAUCUUGCAUGCAGCAGAGCUGGAGCAGCAUAAACAACAUGGGGAUGAAAACUCUGUUAGCCAAGCCAUCUUUUAUUUUGUCUUCAAUGGGAAAGAUAUAGGGUGAGACUGACAGACUGUGUUUGCACUUACACAUUAUUGGCAGCAACAGGAUGUAAUAAAAACAGGAAAUGGGGGAUUUCUUGCAAAAAUACAAAACUGCUUUUGUGUUUUAAGUGUCAAAAAAUCCUCCUAUUAGAGCUAGAGAUUAACUUUGCAACAUACACACUUUGAAGAAUAUAUUUUCUUAUCUAAACAUUCAACAGAGAUCUCAUCUAUUCUCCCCUGCUGAUGUCAGGGAGCUGAUUUGUCCUUUUAUUGGCCUAGUAUCUGAGAGUGUCAAAGCAGCAAAACAAAAUGUAAAUAAUACCCAUUUUAUCCUCAAACUCUAAGUUGCACCAAAAGGAUUUUAUUUUCACAUUACUGAACUGUUGUUACCCUAAAGCAUCCUCAGAUAUGUAUAAGUCCUGAAAUUGACUUUCAGUGCUUUGCAAUGGCUGUGUGCACACUUUUGGGAUGUUCCCUGCAAGGAGAAUUAUGCUAAACCCUGUACUGGUUCUCUGACCAUCUGCUAUGUACGUACAUAUUGCUCCAAGGAUGACACUUCAGGGUGCUACAGAAGUAAGUAGGGAAAUCACCUGUAGAAAAUAAAAGUAUAAAUCCAUUCCUCAUCACCUUCUUGUUGUCCUACUUCCCUGGACUUAUACAAGUUAUCCUUGGACUUGUAACAAAAUUUUCUGCCUCUGAAUGUUUUAUCUUCUACUUCUCUGCCUGAUUUCUCUGAUCAUUUAGUAGCCUUUAUUUGUGAAAAUAGCUAUAUGAGGAGCAGAAGACUCUGUUUAGGAGAAAUUCUGGGCAAUGGCCAUUGUUCCUAAGACUUUUUAAUGCUGAAAGUUCCUCCAAAAAGCUUCUUUGUGUUCAAUGAAGACAGAAAGAGGCAGGGAGGGUGACUAAAGGUAUCUUUAGGCUGUCUUGUGUGGGACUUAGCCUUGGAGUUCCUUGCUGGCCUUGAGAGCCAGGAUGUUUUCACAGCAUCCUCUGGCUGUACUCACUGGGUCAAGAGUCUGGGGCUCUGGCACAGAAACUGCUGCCAGGGCAUUGUUUCUUCUUAUUUCAUGGCCACAUCUCCCUGACAGGACAUCAGAACAAAGAAGCAAGAAAAAUCUGAGCCUUGGAACUUGGCCAGACACUUGAACUUGAAGUAUUCUGUAUUGCAUUUAACCAAUAACUUUUUUUAAGCAGACUGGAUAUGAUUAGAAAGUCUAGAAAAAGUCCAAAAGCCAAUUGUGAUUAGAUGUGACUGUGAGACUAUUUAUAUUCUGUUCUGAUAGAGAAAGUUAUGCCUACAGUUCCACCAGCUGCUUGUGGGAGCCAGUGGCAAAUUCUAGUCUGGUGUGUGAAGUGCAAAGAUGAAACUAACCUUACAUUUUCCACUCCUGACACCAAGUCUGCCUUCCUUCAAGGAGUGUUGUGAUAACAUGAGUGAAGCUCUCCAGGAGCACUUGAAGGUGAUUGUGUGGCAACUGCUUAUGAAAAAUUUGCACAAAUUUGCGUUAACUCUUCAGUCCCAUAACAUAUAGUUGCUUUUCAACCUCUGAGAAUACAAUAGUCACUAGAAUAAAUGAGGAUUUUUCUCAUGUAAAAGAUGUUUCCUUGAUGUCUUGUAGCUGCUCUUUGGCACCAUGCACUCUACAGUCACUUGAAUUAUAUUGCUGUGAGACUCUACAGGAUGAGAAGAAAGUAAAUGUUUGAAGUUCAAGCUGUAAUACUGCUCUGCCAUUUGAACUUGCUCAAGACAUCACCAGAGACUGCAAGGUUUAGGAUGUUGAUAUCACCUGCAGUCACAUCUGUCUCUUGAGAAAUUCUGGGCUUGAUGUGCACAGUACAACCAAUGUCUGUUCAGUUACACAAGUUGGUGCAGGCUGUGCAUACCUCAAUUCCCAGGGCAAUUUAGCAACAGUGCCACGUGUGCUGGAGAAAAUGAGAACGUAUUAUUAUUGUCUUCCUUACAAGAACCCGUGAGUUCAUUUGAUUUGCUUGCAACAUCUUCAGGAUUCUGUAAUCUGGAUACUCACUGUGCUUUGCAGUUACACUUCCUUUUCUUGCUGUUCAGUAGCUGAGGAUGAAGCCUCAGACUGAAUGUAGCCAUUGAACUCUGGAUGUUGAAUCCAUCCUCUUGGUAACUGCUUCCUGCCUUGGCUUUGUGAACUGUUUCAGACCUGACAGUGAACCUCAGAUGUACCUGAACACCAGCCAGUGCUUCACAGUCAGUCUGGAGGCAAGGGCCUGGCUACAGUCAAUGGAAGAUGUGAAGGAUACCAUCCAGUCAGAGUUCCUCUUCUCCUUCCUUCUCUCUCUUCUGCUUCACCUAUCCCCUACCUCCCCACCUUUUCCUUUCCCUUUCUUCUCCUUAACUGCAAGACCUGUUUCAUCUUUAUGUUCAGCUUCUCCCACAUCUCUGUAGAAAGAAAUGAGAACUUAUGAAACAACAAGUGAAACAAAGGCUUAUGAAAGCUACUACACAUCUUUGUAAUUAAAGUUUGAUUAUUGUUUCAGUUGUGCCCUCAUUAAGCGGUAUGUAAACACAGAUGGAUGUGAAGACAAGCAGACACAGAGCUCCCAUUAUUGAAGAUAAAUAUGAAUAACAGGAAUCCAGAGAGAGCUCUUGCUCUCUGGAUCAUGUAUCUUUGUGUAGAUUAGGCUUCUUAGAAGUUGGAGUUACCCAAACAGACACAAAGGAAGUACUGAGACAAAAGAAGCACAAAUUUCUUCACACUUGAUAUAAAGUUGUUGCUCAGCACAGCAGCCAUCCCAGAGAGUUUUUCUGUCUUUCCAUGCAUUAGAUAUUACAAAUGUGAACUACUGAAGGGUAACAAGGCAGCUGUGCUCUUCAUGAGGUUAAGGCAGAGCCUAUUCAAAACCAGAGCAGCUACACGGUGUUUACAUCUCUCAAAAGCUCAAUAAACAGUGUUUGUUUGUGAUUUGUAUCUGCCUUUUGCUGACAGCGCUCCUCCAUUAACAAGGGCGUCCCUCCCUGGAGCAGGGGAGGACUGAGCCAGGGGAUGCUGUGGAGGGCUGGGAGUAUGCCUGCCCUUCAGCCAAGGGUGUGUUUGUAGCCUGUGUAGACAUUCCCUGGUGAACUUUCAGCCAGCUAGAUGAAGGUGUGGAUAGCAGUUUAGCCACCCAGCCCGGAGCGCAGCGGAGGCACCCUGCGGGAUUUCCCCUCUUCCCCAGCCGGUUUUGCAUCCUGCUGUGAGCUCCAGUUUGCUGCAGCAAGCAGACAGUUAUAUGAUCUAAUUAACUAAAGAAUAACCUGAGGAGAUGAAGCAGUGUUGGGGCUGGUGAGAGGGACACCUCUGGAUCUGGCUCUGUGGUGCUGUCCCCAUCACUCCACUAGCCUAGCUUUGGCAGAGUCUCCUUGUGUUCUGAAUCUGAGAUACUGUGCAUGGGGCUUUUCUUUUUCUCCCCUAAAUUCUAGAAAUCCAGCUUAGCAUUAGUGUGAUGUUUCAAGUAUUCCACUAUUUCUCAGAAAUUUCUGAUACCAGUAGCCACUUUAAUAAAUGAUUUUUUUAUUUCAAAAAUAUUUUUAAUUUAAUAACUAAUUGAUAAUUUAUUUAAUAACGUAUGUUAAGUGAGAGGGUUGCCAUAUAACUGCUAUGUCAUGAGUGUUUAUUAAAUCUAAGUUAGAUCCUUGUUUGCAAUAUUUUAUAAACCCUCCCAAUUUUUCUUUUUCUAUGUAGUUUUCAAGAAAACAAUUUCCUCGGUGUAUGAAUUAGUUAGAGGAAAUAUACAGGUCUACUUAUAGAAUCAUCUUGAAAAUACAUAAUGACCUUCAUUUAGAAUUAUGCUGUUCUGAGCAUUGUGCCAUACUGGAACCUCUAAUGGUGUGGAGCUUUCAAGUCUGAAGUUGCUGUCAUUGUAUUGCAAAGGUUCCAUAUUGCUAGAGUUUCCUGCCUCCUUGAUGUUUCUCGUAGGCAGCUCCUCUAAGCACUGACACUUCCCCUUUCUCACAGCAGCCAACCAGCUCCAGGUCCCUCUCACCUAACCAAUCCACUCUUUUAUAACACACUUCUUCUUACUGGCUACAGCUGCAGCCUGUUAGAGUCAGGCCUGUUCCCAAUCUCUAAUAAUUGGCUCAGCUGCAAUUCCUUAGGGGUAAGAUUACUUUCUAUACUACCUUUAAUUUCUUAUAUUGUAUCCCCCUACAUGAAGUAGCUGAUGAAACAAUACUUUUUUUGAAGUAAAGGCUACGAACUUCCUUUAUUUAUCUCCAAUUUCAACUUUGCAAACUGAUCAAUUUAAUUGGAGUUUAUUUAGGGCAUAUCCUCACAAACCUUCCCUUAUCUAAGUAGUCCUAUUGAUUUAUGGUUUACUCUUGUGCUAAAAACCUGAAAUAUCUUCCUUUGGUGUUUUGUUAAAUUUUUCCAAAUGAAGAAUUUUUUGUUUGUGUGAGGUGUUCCCUUUUAAAUUUUAUGGCUUAUAAUGACACUAGUCCAGGCCUUUCUGCAGGUCUAAGUUCUUUUCAGAUUACUGAAGGAAUUUACUGUCUCACCUGAAAAGAUUUCAGCUUGAAAACCAUUAGCUGUUCAGCACUGUCAGAAAAUUCUUCUGUUCCUUGGGUGUGCAUGCAUGCAAGAAAUGCACAAGUUAAAUAUCUUGCUGAUUUUGUUUAGUUUUAGUCAUCUGUACUGGCCUUAUUUCUCUUUAUGUGCAGCAAAGUCCAAAUAUAGAAUCCCGAAUCAUGGUGAGGAAUCCUAGUAAAUAUACUGCACUUGGUCUGCCUGUCCUAUCAUAAAAGUACCAAGAAAUGAUGAUUAAUCCAUUCAUUGACCAAGUUCUGGGUCAUUUUUAUGUUCUCUUCCAUCACAAAAGCAGACAAUAGGAAUCAGUGAUUCCAGGUUUCUGUGCAAUGUCAGACUAUUACUUUGGAAGAAAGACUCAUACUUCAAAUGUUAUUGAAAAAAAUCAUACAUAAUACCUGUAGAUAAAUAGUUUUAAAGUUUUAAUCUGUAUUGUUCAUCAGUUUCAGACAUCAGUGUUGAUCAACAUUAGAAACAGAUUUAACUAAACAAAAUGUUAGGCUCUUCUUGCGAAGAGCUGACUCAUUGCCACAAUAUUAAUGUAUUAGCUGCUUACCCAAAGGUGGCAUAAAUGUUUGAAAUUUCAUUUCAUUGUGCAGUAUUUAGCAUUGCUGAUGUUUGUGGAGCUGAUUAUUCAGUUACAAAAGUAAUUUAAAUAGUCAUAUAAAUUUUAUUUAAGCCUCUUUUUAGACAUAUCACAAAAGAAGUACAAACCCCAAAUCCUGCACAGAACUGAGCAGGUGGCUCUCCAACAGCUAACUGAGAUAAAAGAAGAAACUAGAGUGUGUGUAUUGUUAACUUAGGUUCAUAAGUUAAAUGAAAACAAAGGUGUCUGGCCAGACAGCAAAUCUGUUCACUGCUGUUGCAGGCAGUCUGCAAUAUAAUCCCAUCAUACUUCUGAGAUUCGAGCUCAAACACAAAAGUAUUUAAAUUGUUCUCAAACACUAGGCAGGAAAAAUCAUAAGAAAGCUGUGUAAGGAGCAGAGCUGAGGUGGUACUGAAGGGAGAACUGAUUCUUAUCUGGAAUUGAAGAGAGAGACAAGAACCAUAGGGAAUGGGAUGAGCACAGUGAUAGAGAUGGUGAAAAAAGUUUCCCAGAAAUUCAUUAUCUGAGUUGCUCUCCUGUCCUAUCAGCUGGUUUCUCUUGCUUUGCCUUUGCUUUCACUAGCAGCUUUGAACCAGCUUUAAAAUCCUCUGCAGCUAACAAGAGGGUUUUUUCCUUUAUUUGCUAGUCUUUGUGUCUGAGUCCUAAGGGAGAGACUGGGUAAUUUUAUGUUCUGCCUGCAGCAUCUAACUUCCUCUUGUAUAAACGAGUUUGAUUCAGUGCCUGAGGGUCAGCUCAGUCUUCCUGCCAAAAAGCCCCCUGAAUUCAGAGGUGGGUGACCUUUUCUGAUGAAUGGUUUGCUUUGAGAAAGAUACAGGCCUGGUCUUCCCAAACACUGUAAUUUGUAAUUCAGAGGUGAAUUUGGUAAGUAAGAGCGAUGAACUACAACAUACAGAAAACACUACAGAGGUGUUUCCCUCUAACAUUUCCAAACCAAACAGGCUUAAUUGUCUAAUGCUAGAUUGCUUAGAGUUCCUUAAGGGCAGUUUGUGGGCAUUUGGCACCAGCCCUACCAGGGAACAGAGCAGCUCAUCCCUGAGCUGUGCUGGAGACAGGCUGUGUAAGGAUCCCACUCACCUCCUGUGGAGGCACAUAUCGCUUCUUGGCUCUCCUGUGGUUCCAGGUCUGUGCUCCAAAUGAUCCCUUAAAUGCAAGGUGAGUAUGGCCAGACACUCCCUCCAGUUAUCUGCAGGUUGAUAUAAAGUUUUUUUCAUGUAGUCCUAAGCCCACAGAGGUCAUUUUUGGUUUGAUCCUUUACUCGGAAGCUGUGCACCCGAGGCUGAGGCAUAUCCAUUCCUUUUAGCAGGCUUUCAGCUCCUCAAGGGGAUGGACAUCAGUAUGAGAAGCAAACCAGAGACAUUAAAUGAGGUCAAGGUCACGGUAUGUAAGCAUUAGAUAACACAAUAAUUUAAAAUGAUGAAUGAAAUAGUUUAAAGAAUGUUAAUUAUAACCCACAGUACAGACACAGGAUGGCCCUCGUAGCGUGGGCUGUGCAAAACUGUGUGAAUAUCUCUGGCAGCUGGGGGCA